GACGAACGCUGGCGGCGUGCUUAACACAUGCAAGUCGAACGAAGAGCGAUGGACGCUUGCUUCUAUCAAUCUUAGUGGCGAACGGGUGAGUAACGCGUAAUCAACCUGCCCUUCAGAGGGGGACAACAGUUGGAAACGACUGCUAAUACCGCAUACGAUCUAAUCUCGGCAUCGAGGAUAGAUGAAAGGUGGCCUCUACAUGUAAGCUAUCACUGGAGGAGGGGAUUGCGCCUGAUUAGCUAGGUGGAGGGGUAACGGCCCACCCAGGCGAUGGUCAGUAGCCGGUCUGAGGAGAUGAACGGCCACAUUGGGACUGAGACACGGCCCAGACUCCUACGGGAGGCAGCAGUGGGGAAUCUUCCGCAAUGGACGAAAGUCUGACGGAGCAACGCCGCGGGAGUGAUGACGGCCUUCGGGUUGGAAAGCUCUGUUAAUCGGGACGAAAGGCCUUCUUGCGAAUAGUGAGAAGGAUUGACGGUACCGGAAUAGAAAGCCACGGCUAACUACGUG
rnacentral:rRNA from 1 species